AUGAUGGGUGGCAGCAAGAGAAAGAGUGCCAUCCCAUCCUGUGGCGAGGCUGGGAAGAUUACGGCAGAGGCGUUCCCAAGCAGCAAGAGGAAGAAGGCCCUUCUACUAUCUCUUUGUGCACGGUUGCUUCCUGAUGACAUGAUGUUGGAGGUGCUACUUCGUCUCCCUGUCAAAUCCGUUCUCCGCUUCCGGGCCGUUUGUCGCUCUUGGGAUGCACUCCUCUCCUCCAAGGAUUUCUGCAGCCUCCACAUGGCGACCUGUAAGGUGCUGCCACCAGCACCAAAGCUACUGGUGGUCUCACCCACAGAAAAAUUGGACUCCGCCACAGUAUGCUCAUACUCACCGUCAGGCCCGAGAGAUGAUUUACUCUUCACCAUUGACUCUGCACGUCCCAACUCUGUGGAAGUACUGACGCCCUCACCAUGCUGUGGCCUCACCCUUCUAUAUGACGCCGCCGCGCUAGCUUACUAUGUUUGCAAUGCAGCCACACGGGCAGUCGCACGUCUGCCACCUUACUGUGAUCGUGCACGUGAUUUUACUGCUGGGUUGGGAUUUGAUGCCCCGACAAGGGAGUACAAGGUAGUGAGGUUGAUCAAUGGGCUUGCCCACGAGGACAUCCUCAGGUGUGAAGUGUACACACCAGGGGCUGAUUGCUGGAGGCCUGCAGCUGGAGGAGUACCCUUCAGGUGGUCCAAGUUUGCACAUUCUGCAGUUGGUCAUGCUAUGAUGAGCAAAAUACAACCUGUGUUUGCCAACGGAUUCCUGCACUGGUUGAUCAGUCCUUCUCUUCUCAUCAGAAGGCCAAGAGCUGCCAUCAUAUUGUUUUCUGUCGCAGAGGAGACCUUCGGAUCCGUCCGUUCACCACCGUUCUGGGGAUCAAGAGAGCACGUACGCCCCUGGUCCCAGUCAGAAGGAGAGCAUCUGGUCGUGAUGGAUGACCAGGUGUGUAUUGUCCGGAACCUUCGCAACGGAACCCCUCAUGGUAGUGCCCUGGAGAUUUGGGGGCUGCUGGAUUACGGCUCUGGUGAUUGGACGCUAAAUCAUCGAAUCGAUUUGUCCGGGCACAUCAGAAGAGAAUUAGGCGAGCCACAGGCUGUGAGAGUUAUUGGUUCUCUUGGCAAUUGCAGGUCGGGGAAGAAGAUUGUCAUUGCUACUAGCAAGCACUGGGUUUAUGAAAAGUUUCAUAAAAAAGUUUACACCUAUGAUCCUAGCUGUCAGGUUCUAGAGGGCAUUCUUUCGGUCACUGAGACACACACCUCUGUUCCAUGCUUCAUCCCUGGUUCAAGAUUCAGUUUAUUUGAAGAGAGCCUUGCUCCAGUGCAUAAAAGGGAUGAAGAGGUUGCCCUGUCAUAUACCCUGGCUAAGGCAACUAAACAAACUACUACUCCAAGCUAA
rnacentral:rRNA from 1 species